UUACAGACCAACAAAGUAAGAUAAAAAUGAUUAAAGACAAUUUACAAACUGAUAGAUUUAAAUCACAAUAGAGAUAUUCUAUUGACAUAUAUUAAUUAAUUUAUCUACAAGCUAAGAUAAACUAGGUUACAGAAAAGAGAAUAAUACUACUAUAUCCAACUUCCAAGGUAAUAAAUUCAAGCACAAUUACAUAUAUAGCUACCUGUAAACGGAUUAAUUAAACUUAAUACACAUUAACUGUGUAAAGAUUUUCUACACAAUUAGGUAAAUGAUUAUCAGUGGCGGACCUACAUUAACGUUACUCGUGCUCGAGCAUUAUUUUUUACCCAAAACACUAAGCAAAGACAGCUUGAUGCACUAAGCUCUCGUUAUGCGAAGUUCAGAGAAGGGUCGAACAACAAGGCUCUAUCGUACGCGGUCUUAAUCUGUAUUUUUACAAGAAGCUAUUUCCCAGGCAUAUUAAAUUGAAGGCUAGUAAAAAUAUACGAAGUUAUUGAUUAAGCACCCAACCUUAGCAAGUAUUUUAAAUUACAGACAGUUGAGCACCCACGACGUUAAAAUUCCAAAUUAUUCUUUUAUGUAGGUCCAUCUGCAUGACCAACACCAGGGCUGUGGCCUGGACCUCCUUCUGAAACAUUAUUGACAUGCAUAUUGUUACGAUCAUGAACAAAGUUGAGGUUCUUCACUUUUGUUUGCCUUUUUUCUCCAUUGCUUAUUGUGAAGCUUUUCUUCUUCUCUGUUUUCAAGACUCUUCCCUCACUCAAUAAAGUCUCAUAGGAGAUGAUUAUUAAUGUUAGGAAGAGAGCACAAGUACACACCACUUUUGCUUCAGCCAUUUCCCUAAAGAAACUCCUAACUCUCUCUCCCUCUCUCUCAAUAUUCUUAGUUUGGUGGG
rnacentral:lncRNA from 1 species